GACGAACGCUGGCGGCGUGCUUAACACAUGCAAGUCGAACGGAAAGGCCCUGCUUUUGUGGGGUGCUCGAGUGGCGAACGGGUGAGUAACACGUGAGUAACCUGCCCUUGACUUUGGGAUAACUUCAGGAAACUGGGGCUAAUACCGGAUAGGAGCUCCUGCUGCAUGGUGGGGGUUGGAAAGUUUCGGCGGUUGGGGAUGGACUCGCGGCUUAUCAGCUUGUUGGUGGGGUAGUGGCUUACCAAGGCUUUGACGGGUAGCCGGCCUGAGAGGUUGACCGGCCACAUUGGGACUGAGGUACGGCACAGACUCCUACGGGAGGCAGCAGUGGGAAAUAUUGCACAAUGGGCGGAAGCCUGAUGCAGCAACGCCGCGUGCGGGAUGACGGCCUUCGGAUUGUAAACCGCUUUCGCCUGUGACGAAGCGUGAGUGACGGUAAUGGGUAAAGAAGCACCGGCUAACUACGUG
rnacentral:rRNA from 1 species